UACGUAGGGCGCAAGCGUUGUCCGGAAUUACUGGGCGUAAAGGGCGCGUAGGCGGGAUGGCAAGUCGGUCGUGAAAUCCCUCGGCUCAACCGAGGAACGUCGAUCGAUACUGCUGUUCUUGAGGAUUGCAGAGGAGACUGGAAUUCCCGGUGUAGCGGUGAAAUGCGUAGAGAUCGGGAGGAACAUCAGUGGCGAAGGCGGCCAUCUGGAUCAACACUGACGCUGAGGCACGGAAAGCGUGGGGAGCAAACAGG
rnacentral:rRNA from 1 species